rnacentral:rRNA from 1 species
UGGGGAAUAUUGGGCAAUGGGGCGCAAGCCUGACCCAGCAACGCCGCGUGAAGGAAGAAGGCUUUCGGGUUGUAAACUUCUUUUAAGAGGGAAGAGCAGAAGACGGUACCUCUAGAAUAAGCCACGGCUAACUACGUGCCAGCAGCCGCGGUAAUACGUAGGUGGCAAGCGUUGUCCGGAUUUACUGGGUGUAAAGGGCGCGUAGGCGGGGAUACAAGUCAGAUGUGAAAUCUAUGGGCUUAACCCAUAAACUGCAUUUGAAACUGUAUCUCUUGAGUGUCGGAGAGGUAGACGGAAUUCCUAGUGUAGCGGUGAAGUGCGUAGAUAUUAGGAGGAACACCAGUGGCGAAGGCGGUCUACUGGACGAUAACUGACGCUGAGGCGCGAAAGCGUGGGAGCAAACAGGAUUAGAUACCCUGGUAGU